rnacentral:rRNA from 1 species
GCGGGUCAUUGUAGCAAUACAAGGCAGACGGCUCAGUAACGCGUAGUCAACCUACCCUAUGGACGGGAAUAACCUCGGGAAACUGAGAAUAAUGCCCGAUAGAACACUAUACCUGGAAUGGUUUGUGUUUCAAAUGAUUUAUCGCCGUAGGAUGGGACUGCGGCCUAUCAGUUUGUUGGUGAGGUAAUGGCCCACCAAGACUAUUACAGGUACGGGCUCUGAGAGGAGUGGCCCGGAGAUGGGUACUGAGACACGGACCCAGGCCCUAUGGGGCGCAGCAGGCGAGAAAACUUUGCAAUGUGCGAAAGCACGACAAGGUUAAUCCGAGUGAUUUGUGCUAAACGAAUCUUUUGUUAGUUCUAGAAAUACUAACGAAUAAGGGGUGGGCAAGUUCUGGUGUCAGCCGCCGCGGUAAAACCAGCACCUCAAGUGGUCAGGAUGAUUAUUGGGCCUAAAGCAUCCGUAGCCGGCUCUGUAAGUUUUCGGUUAAAUCUGUACGCUUAACGUACAGGCUGCCGGGAAUACUGCAGAGCUAGGGAGUGGGAGAGGUAGACGGUACUCGGUAGGAAGGGGUAAAAUCCUUUGAUCUAUUGAUGACCACCUGUGGCGAAGGCGGUCUACCAGAACACGUCCGACGGUGAGGGAUGAAAGCUGGGGGAGCAAACCGGAUUAGAUACCCGGGUAGUCCCAGCUGUAAACUAUGCAAACUCAGUGAUGCAUUGACUUGUGGUCAAUGCAGUGCUGCAGG